rnacentral:rRNA from 1 species
GAUGAACGCUGGCGGCGUGCUUAACACAUGCAAGUCGAACGGAAAGGCCCAAGCUUGCUUGGGUACUCGAGUGGCGAACGGGUGAGUAACACGUGGGUGAUCUGCCCUGCACUUCGGGAUAAGCCUUGGAAACUGGGUCUAAUACCGGAUAGGACCUAAUUUUGGAUGGUGUGGUGGAAAGUAUUUCGGUGUGGGUUGGGCUCGCGGCCUAUCAGCUUGUUGGUGGGGUAAUGGCCUACCAAGGCGUCGACGGGUAGCCGGCCUGGGAGGGUGUACGGCCACAUUGGGACUGAGGUACGCACCAGUCUCCAACGGGAGGCAGCAGUGGGGAAUAUUGCACAAUGGGCGCAAGCCUGAUGCAGCGACGCCGCGUGCGGGAUGACGUCCUUCUGGUUGUAAACUCCUGUCGCUAGGGACGAAGCGCAAGUGACGGUACCUGGAGAAGAAGCACCGGCCAACUACGUG